UAGCCUGCUGAUAUGGAGGUCAGUUGCCUACAAGCCUGAUGAAAUGGAGGUCAGUUGCCUAGAAGCCUGCUGAUAUGGAGGUCAGUUGCCUAGAAGCCUGCUGAUAUGGAGGUCAGUUGCCUAGAAGCCUGCUGAUAUGGAGGUCAGUUGCCUAGAAGCCUGCUGAUAUGGAGGUCAGUUGCCUAGAAGCCAAAGCCUGCUGAUAUGGAGGUCAGUUGCCUAGAAGCCUACUGAUAUGGAGGUCAGUUGCCUAGAAGCCUGCUGAUAUGGAGGUCAGUUGCCUAUGUCAGUUGCACAUGACUAUGUUCCUGAAUAGCGGGGUAGGGCUAGCCCUUUAUUUU